AAAGAAUCAAAAGUCUUUUGUUGUGUUAAAAUUCUCUAUAAUCUCUUUUUCAAAUAAAUUUUCUUAAAACAUUCAAU
rnacentral:sRNA from 1 species